rnacentral:tRNA from 1 species
GCCGGUGUGGCUCAGUGGGUAGAGCACCGGCCUGCAGACUGAAGGGUCCUGGUUUGAUUCCGGUCAAAGGCA